rnacentral:antisense_RNA from 6 species
UUUUAUGGCGGUUGGGUGUGGGAGACCUUCGGACCUGCCGGGUUUGGUCUCUUCCUCAGUCUGCGAACCCGCACGCAACUGCCACCUCA